rnacentral:rRNA from 1 species
UACGGGGGGGCAAGCGUUGUUCGGAAUUACUGGGCGUAAAGGGCUCGUAGGCGGCCAACUAAGUCAGACGUGAAAUCCCUCGGCUUAACCGGGGAACUGCGUCUGAUACUGGAUGGCUUGAGUUUGGGAGAGGGAUGCGGAAUUCCAGGUGUAGCGGUGAAAUGCGUAGAUAUCGGAAGGAACACCAGUGGCGAAAGCGGCUUCCUGGUCCAGCACCGACGUCAGGCACGAAAGCGUGGGGAGCAAACAGG